CAAGUUGCAAAAUUUAACAAGACCCUUUGCUAGGUUUGUAACACAAGGGUUGCAGGAAACACAACUCGAUUCUCCAUUACACCCUCUGAUCACCUUUGAGGACUCCACCCAGUUGUAAAGAAGCUCAUUUUUAACCCAAGAAAACGUCGUGAUGCCUUCCAUAGAAACUAUGGAAUCAGUUCCUCAGAUGAAAGGGAGGGAGGAGGAGGAAGAAAAGAAAACUGAGGACUGCCGUGAAUUUCUAGAGCAAGACACUGGGCUCCGAUGUCUUUAGGAUACUGAUUUGUUCCAUCCAUGAAGACAGCGUCCCUGUUCAGAUCUCUUAAUAUCCUUUUAAUAAAGUUUUACAAUGCUCUCCA